rnacentral:tRNA from 1 species
GGAUUGUGGCUCAGUGGUAGAGCACUCACCUAGCACGUGUGAGGCCCUGGGUUCAAUCUUGAGCACCA